UCAGAUAUCUAUUGUUUUUAACUAAUUUAUAGCCCUAUUCAUCUCCUUCCUUCCUUCCUUCCUUCCUUCCUUCCUUCCUUCCUUCCUUCCUUCCUUCCUUCCUUCCUUCUUUCCCUCUUUCUUUCUUUCUUUCUUUCUUUCUUUCUUUCUUUCUUUCUUUCUUUCUUUCUUUCUUUCUUUCUUUCUUUCUUUCUUUCUUUCUUUCUUUCUUUCUUUCUUUCUUUCUUUCUUUCUUUCUUUCUUUCUUUCUUUCUUUCUUUCUUUCUUUCUUUCUUUCUUUCUUCCUUCCUUCCUUCCUUUCUCUUUCUCUCUUUCUUUCUCUCCUUUCUCUCCUUUCUUUCUUUCUUUCUUUCUUUCUUUCUUUCUUUCUUUCUUUCUUUCUUUCUUUCUUUCUUUCUUUCUUUCUUUCUUUCUUUCUUUCUUUCUUUCUUUCUUUCUUUCUUUCUUUCUUUCUUUCUUUCUUUCUUCCUUCUUUCCUUCCUUCCUUCCUUCCUUCCUUCCUUCCUUCCUUCCUUCCUUCCUUCCUUCCUUCCUUCCUUCCUUCCUUCCUUCCUUCCUUCCUUCCUUUCUUUCUUCCUUCCUUCCUUCCUUUCUAUUAAUAUUUUAUUAAUUUUAAUUUAGAAUAUUUUCCCAAGGUUACCUCCAUUUCUUAAGUUGGGAAUACCGUGGGAAUACCUUUUCAACUUUCUUUACAAGACAGUGAUAAAGAUCAAAUAAGAUAAUGUAGAAGCAUAAGAAAAUGUUUCAAAUUCUCUGUUGUGGUGAGGAUUUUUAAAAAUUUUAAUUAAGAUGAUUAAAAAAGGCAUACAUUUUAAUACUUUGAAACCAGAUGUAGAUCACUUCAUGAGGGAGAGUACCUGGUUUCCUGCAAGGUAUUACACUGACCAUUAAAGUACCUUUCUGGGUUGCCUAACAAAAUGGUACAAACAUUUGGCUGAGAAGACUACUGGAACUCUGUAGUAUACCACAUAUCCUGGAAAUAAGACAAAAAUACCACCUUUCUAUAGAACUUCAAAGUUUGCAGUGUCCCUUUCAUAAAAAACAAACAAACAAAAAAACAAACAACCUUAUGAAGCAGGAUAUGUUAUUAGCAUUACAAGCAUUACAUUAUUAUAUUAUUAUAUUAUAAGCAUUACAUUAUUACCA
rnacentral:lncRNA from 1 species